rnacentral:piRNA from 1 species
UCACACGAGUUUCUGUACCACAGCAGAGU